rnacentral:rRNA from 1 species
AACGUAGGGGGCGAGCGUUAUCCGGAAUCACUGGGCGUAAAGGGCGUCUAGGCGGCCGUCCAAGUCCAGCGUGAAAGCUCCCGGCUCAACUGGGAGAGGGCGCUGGAGACUGGAGGGCUGGAGACUCGGAGGGGGGUGUGGAAUUCCCGGUGGAGUGGUGAAAUGCGUUGAGAUCGGGAGGAACCCCCGUGGCGAAGGCGGCACCCUGGCCGAGGUCUGACGCUGAAGCGCGAGAGCGUGGGGAGCGAACGGGAUUAGAAACCCCUGUAGUCC